UUCCUCAGGGACUUUGACAGAGGAUUCUGAUGUGACUAAAGCCCGCUUCCGAUGAGCCACUUUGUAUUUCGGCAUCUUGUUAAACAGAGUUGUUGAUUAGCAAAAAGAAAAACACAUUUCUGUUUAAAAUUGCUACUAUGUGUAGGAAACAAGUACAACUAUCUCAGGUGCUAAUGAAGUUCCACACGAAGUACAGGCAAUCUCGCUAUAGAAAAAGUUCUACAUAGAGACAGAGUUAAUUCGGACUGAGGCUACCAACAGCACCAUGACAGGUACCUUGUUGGCAAGAAAGCUAUGGAAAAGAGAAUCUGUUUCCAGACUUGACAUGAUUCAGGCAGGACUCCAACAAAAUUGAUUACAAGCUCCUCUCCUAUUUUGGUGUUUUCUCCUGCAAGAGCACUGAACCCAGAGUAAGAGGACAUAUGUUUGGGUCUUAGCUCCAUCCCUUCCUACCUGUGUGAUCCUGGACAAGUCAGCUCCUUCUGACCCUGAAUUUGCUCAUCUGGAAAAUGGGUAAAUUAAAUA